UACGUAGGGGGCUAGCGUUGUCUGGAAUCAUUGGGCGUAAAGAGCGUGUAGGCGGCCCGGUAAGUCCGCUGUAAAAGUCAAAGGCUCAACCUUUGAAUGUCAGUGGAUACUGCCGGGCUAGAGUCCGGAAGAGGCGAGUGGAAUUCCUGGUGUAGCGGUGAAAUGCGCAGAUAUCAGGAGGAACACCAAUUGCGAAGGCAGCUCGCUGGGACGUAACUGACGCUGAGACGCGAAAGCGUGGGAGCGAACAGG
rnacentral:rRNA from 1 species